CCUCGCAGCAGUGUUCUGAAAUCCUAUAUGAGGGACAAACACUCAGAACCCAGCAGCAGUGUUCUGGAAUCCUUUGUGAGGG
rnacentral:miRNA from 10 species